rnacentral:rRNA from 1 species
UACGUAGGGUGCAAGCGUUGUCCGGAAUUAUUGGGCGUAAAGAGCUCGUAGGCGGUCUGUCGCGUCGGCUGUGAAAUCCCGAGGCUCAACCUCGGGUCUGCAGUCGAUACGGACAAACUAGAGUAUUGCAGGGGAGACUGGAAUUCCUGGUGUAGCGGUGAAAUGCGCAGAUAUCAGGAGGAACACCGGUGGCGAAGGCGGUUCUCUGGGAAUAUCCUGACGCUGAGGAGCGAAAGUGUGGGGAGCGGACAGG